rnacentral:rRNA from 1 species
AACGAACGCUGGCGGCAUGCCUAACACAUGCAAGUCGAACGAGACCUCCGGGUUUAGUGGCGUAGGGGUGCGUAACGCGUGGGAAUCUGCCCUUGGGUUCGGGAUAACAGUUGGAAAUGACUGCUAAUACCGGAUGAUGACGUCGGUCCAAAGUUUUAUCGCCCAGGGUUGAGCCCGCGUCGGAUUAGCUAGUUGGGGAGGUAAGAGCUCACCAAGGCGACGAUCCGUAGCUGGUCUGAGAGGAUGAUCAGCCACACUGGGACUGAGACAAGGCCCAGACUCCUACGGGAGGCAGCAGUGGGGAAUAUUGGACAAUGGGCGAAAGCCUGAUCCAGCAAUGCCGCGUGAGUGAUGAAGGCCUUAGGGUUGUAAAGCUCUUUUACCCGGGAUGAUAAUGACAGUACCGGGAGAAUAAGCCCCGGCUAACUCCGUG